CGAAACCGCGAAUGGCACAUUAAAUCAGUUAUGGUUCACUAGAUCGUACAGUUUACAUGGAUAACUGUGGUAAUUCUAGAGCUAAUACAUGCACCCAGUCCGUUCCCUCGUGGAGCGGAUGCAGUUAUUUGCCCAAAACCAAUCCGGCCUUCGGGUCGGUCAAUUGGUGACUCUGAAUAACCGAAGCGGAGCGCAUGGUCUCGUACCGGCGCCAGAUCUUUCAAGUGUCUGACUUAUCAGCUUGUUGUUAGGUUAUGUUCCUAACAAGGCAUCAACGGGUAACGGAGUGUCAGGGCCCGACACCGGAGAGGGAGCCUGAGAAACGGCUACCACAUCCAAGGAAGGCAGCAGGCGCGCAAAUUACCCACUCCCGGCACGGGGAGGUAGUGACGAAAAAUAACG
rnacentral:rRNA from 1 species